CAGAGCAGAUCGGACAGGAGAUGCUGGAAAACCUUAGCCAUGACAGAGAGAAGAUCCAGCGUGCUCGGGAAAGGCUUAGAGAAACAGAUGCAAACCUGGGGAAGAGUUCCAGGAUUUUGACGGGAAUGUUGCGAAGGAUCAUCCAAAACCGGAUUUUGAUCGUUGUUCUGGCAGUCAUCAUCAUCUUCACCACCAUGAUGGCUAUUUUUUUUUCUGUCAAGGGACGCUGAUAUCUUUGUUCUUCACUAAAUAGCAACAAACUGCUUGUUCUGAGUAAUUAAGACAAAGUGGUCACAUGAAUCAUUCUCUUGCACUGACAGAGUCUCGCUCUCUUUUCCACUCUUCAACUCAGGUGCAAGUGGUAUAAAAUAUUUUGUAUUAUUGAUGGCAUAG